rnacentral:tRNA from 1 species
GGAGAAUUAGUUCAGUUGGUAGAACGGUGGACUGUUAAUCCAUAUGUCGCAGGUUCGAACCCUGCAUUCUCCU